AACGAACGCUGGCGGCAUGCCUAACACAUGCAAGUCGAACGAGAUCUUCGGGUCUAGUGGCGCACGGGUGCGUAACGCGUGGGAAUCUGCCCUUUGGUUCGGAAUAACAGUUGGAAACGACUGCUAAUACCGGAUGAUGACGAAAGUCCAAAGAUUUAUCGCCAGAGGAUGAGCCCGCGUAGGAUUAGCUAGUUGGUGUGGUAAAGGCGCACCAAGGCGACGAUCCUUAGCUGGUCUGAGAGGAUGAUCAGCCACACUGGGACUGAGACACGGCCCAGACUCCUACGGGAGGCAGCAGUGGGGAAUAUUGGACAAUGGGCGAAAGCCUGAUCCAGCAAUGCCGCGUGAGUGAUGAGGGCCUUAGGGUUGUAAAGCUCUUUUACCCGGGACGUUAAUGACAGUACCGGGAGAAUAAGCUCCGGCUAACUCCGUGCCAGCAGCCGCCGUAA
rnacentral:rRNA from 1 species